GCCAAAAGAGCUCAGUUGGGAGAGCGUUAGACUGAAAAUCUAAAUGUACCUGGUUCGAUGCCUGGUUUCGGCA
rnacentral:tRNA from 1 species